GGGGGCGCGCGGACACCACCCACCCCGCCGGGCAAGGCCACCGUCCCAGACGCCUGGCGGCCGGAAGAACCGCACGAACGCCUUCCGCAGAGCUGGUCCUCGGGAGCCCUCCAGCCCACCCAGGGCUUUCCUAGCCCCAAAUCCUUCCCAGGGACGUCCUCGGGACAGGCAAACCUGCUGUAACAUUCAGCUGAUAUAGGAGGUGGAACCCUCCUACAGUCACAGAGACAGAAAGUGCCCCGAGGGCGUCGCCCUGGUCCUGGCGGAGAUGGUCUCUGAUGGUCUGCCUUGAUGACUUAUGGGGACACCUGUCGGGGGUUCUGCUAGACAGAAAGAUGCAGGGCGCCCCUCACGCACGCAAACUCUAGCUCUCACACCCAGACGUGCUCCAAACAUUCCAAAGGAGCCAAAAACGACGUCUGGCUUUUCCGCGGCGCCUCCUGGCCCUGGCGGUGACUCCGAGGUGGCGCUUUCAGGGUGGGCGCGAGGGAGAGGAAAGCCCCUGGCAUCCUCACCCCCAGGGCCAGAGGGACAGCGGGUGCCCUCCGCCCCGAGUCACCUGCGUCUUGAAUUCUGGCCCUCCAAGGAGAGGGCAAUGCCUGAGCCCACGGAAGUUGGGUCAGGGGCAGCAUUGGAAGUCAGAGCCUGCAAUGCUCACGUAAAUGCAAAAGAUGGUUCCUUCAGUGCCAGUAAGAAGGGUGUCUUGAACAUGAGGAAUACAGCAGCAAGCAAGACAGAGAGGUGCCUGCUUUCUGGGGAGACAACAAACAGAUAAAUAAGCACGACACUGUCCUGCCAAGCUAAGUGACAUCAAUGAAACAAGGCAAGGUAAUAAGAAGACGCUGGGAAAAGGCUUAGCUGUGAUUUUGCUUUCUGCAGUUUGAGUUGCCUAUGUUCAACCGAGGUUCAAAAAUAUUAAAUGGAACAUUUCAGAAAUGAACAAUCCUAAGUUUAAAUUGCAUGCCAUUCUGAGCAGCGUGAUGAUAUCUUGCGCCAUCUCUCCCAGUCCUGCCCCGGGGAUGAAUCAUCCCUUUGUCCAGCCUGUCCACACUGUACAUGCUCCAGGCCCGUUAGUUACUUAGUAGCCAUCUCAGUUUUUCGGAUGACGUCGAGGCAUGGCAGGGUUUGUGUUCAAAGUCACCCUUAUUUUACUUAACAAUAGCUUCAAAUCACAAGCAUAGUGAUGCUGGCAAUUUGGAUAUGCCAAAGAGAAGCUACAAGGUGCUUUAAGGGGAAAAGUGAAAGUUGUGGACUUAAUUAGCAACCUUAGCUGAGGUUGCUAAGAUCUGUGAUAACAAGGAAGCUUUGAUUCAUGAAAUUGUGAAGAUGGAAAAAAGAAAUAUAUGCUAGUUUUGCUGUCACACCUCGGACUGCAAAGUAAUGGCCAUGGUGCGUGAUAAGAGCUUAGUUAAGAUGGAAAAGGCAUUAAUUCUGUGGAUAAAAACAUGAAGAGAAAUGUGUUCUGAUUGAUGGCAAUAAGGAUCAGUAUUAUCCGUGGUCCCAGGCAUGCAUUGGAGGUGUUGGAAUGUAUCCCCCAUGGAUAAGGAGAGACUAUUGUAUCCUUGAUUGGGGCAUUGCUACAUGGAUGUAUACAUUUGGCCCAACUCUCCAAACUGAACACUUAAGAUAGGUGUGUUUCAUUGUACGCACAUUUUUCAACAAAAAUCUUUUCUAUAUAAGAAGAAUAGCUGGGAAAGGAAGACAUUAACUAGGGUGAUCAGGAUGGUCUCUUUGCAAAGGGGACAUUUGAGCUGAGACCUGAAAAGUGAGAAUGAACUAGAAGGAGUUAGCCAUGCCAGGAUCUUGUCUCUUCCUACCAAGAUGCUGCAGGCAGAGGAAACGCUGCAUUGGAAGGGCCCCCGGUACCUUGGAGUUGACAGCCAUGUGCUCAGAGGAGAAUGAAGCAAACCAAGCAAAAGCCAACCCCAAACACCCAAUGGCCUGAGCUCCUCAGAGCAAGAAAAGUCAAGUUGAAUAUCUCAGAUGGGGCCGUCAGAGAAUGGAGAUGACCUCAUCCACAGUGGGACAAGUUGGAGCAAAUCACUUGGGUGGAAAGCAAGGAAAUAGAGGGGCAAUUUCAGCAUGUCCCUCAGGCUUCCACAGAGGAAGGUUUGGCCUUCCAAAUUCCCAAAGGGCUCCUCUCCUGGGAUGCACUGUCUCUGCAGAGGUGAAAACACUCUUUCUUGUUUCUCUCUGCCUGGGAUCUUAAUUGUUUCCAGUGUCAAAUGAAGGACUGAGGAAAGAACCAAAGCUUCCCCAGUUCACUAACUGCUCUGGGAUUUACCCAGAAUUUUGAUAGCAUUGAGAUUUGGAGUUGGCUUAGAAGAAGAGAAGAAGGGAAGUGGAGGUGCUGAGAGCUGGUCUGGAGUUAGCCCUGCUUCAGCCACAUUCACUUCCCUUUGUCUCUCAUGACCGGGCAAUGCAGUAGACUUCCCAUGUUGUGUAUCUUCUUGUCUAUUAAACAGGGUUAUCCAACUGAUUGAGGGCAUUUCUUUUUUUUUUUUUUUUCCAACCUCACUUUUUCCAAACUAGUUUAGAUCUUCCAGAGUGUGGUAGGCUGAAAAAUGUCCCCCAAAAAUAUCAGGUCCUAAUCCCUGAAACCUAUGAAUAUUGUCUUAUAUGGGAAAAGGGUCUUUGCAAAUUGGGUUAAGUCAAAGAUCUUGAGAGAGGGAGGUUAUUUUGGAUUAUUAAUAUUUAGGUGGACCUUAAAUAAAUUCCAAGAAUGUCAUCUGGAGUGGAGGAAAAAGGUAUUUCUUUUUAGGAUGUCCAGGAAAUUAAAAGAUGAUGAAAUGCCAAAACAAGUUCACAAAAGAGUAGAAUAGUUUAAAUAUUGACGUCUAAUAUCCACUCACCAUGUCUGUGCACAUAUGCCUCUAAUGACCAUCAACCGUGUCCCUUGGCCUUCAGGCUUUUUUGGACACCAGAGCCUGCUCUGCUUGUGUACACUGCAGAUGUCUCAGGGAAUUAAUGCCUCUCUGGCCCCCAAGAGCAGACUUCAACCAAUGCCUAAUGGAAGUUGGUAUAUAAAUACCCCAGCUCCCUCACCCCUAGGUGGAGAAACUCUGGGGUACCUUCUACACUGGCUCCUAGAGGUCUCCACUGGGACUGAACUCCAGUUGCCCACCAUCAGAACUUAUUUAAUGACACACCCAAAUAAGAUUCCUUCCCCUCCUAUUGGACUUCCCCACUCCACUUCCAUUGUUUUCUAGAAUCAAGUCCCAAAUAAACUACUAGCCUUCAAAUCCUA